UAUAGCUCACGUGGCAGAGCACAUGCUUAGCAUGCACGAGGUCCUGGGUUCAAUCCCCAGUA
rnacentral:tRNA from 1 species